rnacentral:misc_RNA from 1 species
AAGUCGUAACAAGGUAACCGUAGGGGAACCUGCGGUUGGAUCACCUCCUUACCUUAAAGAACCUGCCUUUGCAGUGCUCACACAGAUUGUCUGAUGAAUGAUGAACUUCUGAAUGUACUUUUGAGUGCAUUAAGAAGUUUUGCUCUUUAAAAAUCUGGAUCAAGCUGAAAAUUGAAACGACACACAUGUUAUGUGUGUUCGAGUCUCUCAAAUUUUCGCUAACCGAUGAUGAAUCGAAAGAAACAUCUUCGGGUUGUGAGGUUAAGCGACUAAGCGUACACGGUGGAUGCCCUGGCAGUCAGAGGCGAUGAAGGACGUGCUAAUCUGCGAAAAGCGCCGGCGAGGUGAUAUGAACCUUUGACCCGGCGAUUUCCGAAUGGGGAAACCCA